GAGAUUUAACUGUCAUGAUCAGCUUGCUCAGAAUCACACUGCAAGUAUUCAGAAGCUGCAGCUGAAACAGCUGAAGCAAAACGACCUGGCAAUAUUGAAUGGGAAAAGUAGGGGUCUUGAAUUUAGACAUAUGCAGGCUUGAAUCCUGAUGGAGCUACUCACUAGCUAUGUGACUUUGGCAAGUCUCACAGUGUCUCUGAACCUGUUUCUCUGAACUCAUCCUCAUUCUGUGAAGAUUAAGUUGGAUAAACUAGGCACAGUGCCUCACAUCUGUAAUCCCAGCACUUUGGGAGGCCAAGGUGGGUGGUUCACUUGAGGUCAGGAGGUCAAGACCAGCCUGGCCAACAUGAUUAAA
rnacentral:lncRNA from 1 species